rnacentral:rRNA from 1 species
AACGAACGCUGGCGGCAUGCCUAACACAUGCAAGUCGAACGAGACCUUCGGGUCUAGUGGCGAACGGGUGCGUAACGCGUGGGAACCUGCCCUUAGGUUCGGAAUAACUCCCCGAAAGGGGUGCUAAUACCGGAUAAUGUCUUCGGACCAAAGAUUUAUCGCCUUUGGAUGGGCCCGCGUUGGAUUGGCUAGUUGGUAGGGUAAAAGCCUACCAAGGCGACGAUCCAUAGCUGGUCUGAGAGGAUGAUCAGCCACACUGGGACUGAGACACGGCCCAGACUCCUACGGGAGGCAGCAGUGGGGAAUAUUGGACAAUGGGCGAAAGCCUGAUCCAGCAAUGCCGCGUGAGUGAUGAAGGCCUUAGGGUUGUAAAGCUCUUUUACCCGGGAUGAUAAUGACAGUACCGGGAGAAUAAGCUCCGGCUAACUCCGUG